GGCGGCGUGCCUAAUACAUGCAAGUCGAGCGGACAGAAGGGAGCUUGCUCCCGGAUGUUAGCGGCGGACGGGUGAGUAACACGUGGGUAACCUGCCUGUAAGACUGGGAUAACUCCGGGAAACCGGAGCUAAUACCGGAUAGUUCCUUGAACCGCAUGGUUCAAGGAUGAAAGACGGUUUCGGCUGUCACUUACAGAUGGACCCGCGGCGCAUUAGCUAGUUGGUGAGGUAACGGCUCACCAAGGCGACGAUGCGUAGCCGACCUGAGAGGGUGAUCGGCCACACUGGGACUGAGACACGGCCCAGACUCCUACGGGAGGCAGCAGUAGGGAAUCUUCCGCAAUGGACGAAAGUCUGACGGAGCAACGCCGCGUGAGUGAUGAAGGUUUUCGGAUCGUAAAGCUCUGUUGUUAGGGAAGAACAAGUGCAAGAGUAACUGCUUGCACCUUGACGGUACCUAACCAGAAAGCCACGGCUAA
rnacentral:rRNA from 1 species